AGGGGGAGUGCAGGAUCCUGGGCUGUGUCCCCCAGCGCCCUGGGCUCCGGGGCCAGCGCGGUUGGAAUCGGCUCCCAGGCCACGCAGCCCCCU
rnacentral:pre_miRNA from 1 species